GGGGACUUAGUGUAACGGUAACACACGCCACCGACAGAAGCCACCAGUACGGUGCGGGCCUGGCCAGCCUACACUCGAGCUGAGAAUUAGCGUGUGGGGCGAGCCGGAGGUUCGAUUCCUCCAGUCUCCU